ACUCCGUCCACUGCAUAUCAUU
rnacentral:miRNA from 1 species